GGUCACCCUAAUGUUUCACCUCUUGAGGAAUUGCCGACUGUUUUCCAGAGUUUACAGUCCCUACUGUGGGCUCUAGGUGCCAUGUCUUCUGUCCCUACAGGCAUUUCUUUGCCAUCAGCUGCCAAUAUCUGCUCAGGAAAGAGAUGUAUUUUUAUAGUGCCAGUUCAACACAGCUGAGCAGGCCUGAUGGGUGGCCCAGGAGAGCAAUCAGAG